AUUGAACGCUGGCGGAAUGCUUUACACAUGCAAGUCGAACGGCAGCACGGGGGCAACCUUGGUGGCGAGUGGCGAACGGGUGAGUAACACAUCGGAACAUGCCCAGUCGUGCGGGAUAACGUAGCGAAAGUUACGCUAAUACCGCAUACGAUCUAAGGAUGAAAGCGGGGGACCGUAAGGCCUCGCGCGAUUGGAGUGGCCGAUGCCAGAUUAGGUAGUUGGUGGGGUAAAGGCUCACCAAGCCAACGAUCUGUAGCUGGUCUGAGAGGACGACCAGCCACACUGGGACUGAGACACGGCCCAGACUCCUACGGGAGGCAGCAGUGGGGAAUUUUGGACAAUGGGCGCAAGCCUGAUCCAGCCAUUCCGCGUGCAGGACGAAGGCCUUCGGGUUGUAAACUGCUUUUGUACGGAGCGAAAAGCCUUGGGUUAAUACCUCGGGGUCAUGACGGUACCGUAAGAAUAAGCACCGGCUAACUACGUGCCAGCAGCCGCGGUAA
rnacentral:rRNA from 1 species